rnacentral:rRNA from 1 species
GAUGAACGCUGGCGGCGUGCCUAAUACAUGCAAGUCGAGCGAACGGACGAGAAGCUUGCUUCUCUGAUGUUAGCGGCGGACGGGUGAGUAACACGUGGAUAACCUACCUAUAAGACUGGGAUAACUUCGGGAAACCGGAGCUAAUACCGGAUAAUAUUUUGAACCGCAUGGUUCAAAAGUGAAAGACGGUCUUGCUGUCACUUAUAGAUGGAUACGCGCUGCAUUAGCUAGUUGGUAAGGUAACGGCUUACCAAGGCAACGAUGCAUAGCCGACGUGAGAGGGGGGUCGCCCACACUGGAACUGGGACACGGUCCAGACUCCUACGGGAGGCAGCAGUAGGGAACCUUCCGCAGUGGGCGAAAGCCUGACGGAGCAGCGCCGCGUGAGUGAUGAAGGUCUUCGGAUCGUAAAGCUCUGUUAUGAGGGAAGAACAGAUGUGUAAGUAACUGUGCACAGCUUGACGGUACCUAAUCAGAAAGCCACGGCUAACUACGUG